UCAUGAGAGUCAUUCUAGUAAGUAUAAAUUGACUGAAAAAUAAUGAAAUUCAUCCAAGCAUGGAUGUACAAUAGCAUCUAUGUGUAUCCAUAUGUAUACAUCAUAUCCAUAAGUUAUACAUCAUUAUUACAAUAAACAAGGAUAUAUGCAAGUUCUUGUCCAUGUUGGUAUCCAUAGUUAACAGGACAAAAAGGAUAUGAUUUUCCAAAAUACAUGAGUGGCUUUCAAGAUAAGAAGUGGUGAAAAUUCAAACUCACCGUACAAAUGUGUACUUGUUCAAGUGAGAGAAAAGGUUUUGCUUCCAAGGAUUGUACUUCUAAGAAUCCCGCCAUUAGCAACUUGCGUUCAAGCAUCGAGCUUGGCUGCAACAAGAGCAACAACAUAAAUCUUCUUGCAAGGGUUUUAACAUCCAGAAAGAUGCACACUUCCAAUCAUUUAAAAUAAUUCUUACCUUACUUCCAGUCUGCUCAGCAGAAGCCUGUAUCACAAUAGCUCCACCAGGUUUAAGCACUCUGCUGAACUCCUCAAUCGAUUGCUCGCCAACAAGUUCUGGUGCUUCGGACACGGAAACAACUA
rnacentral:lncRNA from 1 species